rnacentral:rRNA from 1 species
CUACGGGUGGUUGCAGUGGGGAAUCUUAGACAAUGGGGGAAACCCUGAUCUAGCCAUGCCGCGUGAGCGACGACGGCCCUAGGGUUGUAAAGCUCUUUCAGCAGGGAAGAUAAUGACGGUACCUGCAGAAGAAGUCCCGGCUAACUCCGUGCCAGCAGCCGCGGUAAUACGGAGGGGACUAGCGUUGUUCGGAAUUACUGGGCGUAAAGCGCGCGUAGGCGGAUUGUUAAGUCGGGGGUGAAAUCCCGGGGCUCAACCCCGGAACUGCCCUCGAUACUGGCAGUCUUGAGUUCGAGAGAGGUGAGUGGAAUUCCGAGUGUAGAGGUGAAAUUCGUAGAUAUUCGGAGGAACACCAGUGGCGAAGGCGGCUCACUGGCUCGAUACUGACGCUGAGGUGCGAAAGCGUGGGGAGCAAACAGGAUUAGAUACCCCUGUAGUC